rnacentral:misc_RNA from 1 species
UCUCUUAUAGAACCAAGACGAC